GUUCUGACACUGUUAGUUGCUGAUUUACAUUCACUUAGAUGUUAACUGCUCUGUAGGCUAGGGCAUCCUCUUUCUUGAAUAGGUAAUAGCAUAUUUGGAUUUCAAUUUUUCUUUCAUGUCUCCAGCUAAGCAGUGCAUGCUGCUUUUAGACAAGCAUAGCUGACCAGUUGCAACCGCCUCAUGAUUCCAUUUAAGGCACAGACCAAGGACUACAUUCUACGGCAGCGAUAAGAGCACGCCUGCAGAUCCACCUUCCCUGCAGCUGUGUUCACAAUAGUAAAGACACAGAACAAGACCAGCGGGCCAUCAAGUGAGGAACAGAUGAUGAACAUAAAUAGGCAAGCAGGUCAGAAUCUCAUGGACGAAGGAUGGACACAGGACACACAACUGGCUUAAUUUUGGAAAGCUGUGAAGAACAGUUGAAGAAGCAGAGAGCAGGGGCAGCAAGAUGAGUUUGUGAAGAUAUUUGAGAAGGCUUCUCUUGCAGGAGGACCAACAUGUUCUCUUCAAGUGGCACGUGACUGUUCUGUUGAAGCCUCUCCUCCUUCCCUUCUAGCAUUAUUCUCUAAAUUGUUCUGGUUAACAUUUUGUUUUUGUCAACCUGACUCAAGCCAGGGUUUUCGGGGAAAAGGAACCUCAGUUGAGAAAAUUCCUCCAUCAGAAUGCUUGUAGGCAAAUCCAUGCAGCAUUUUCUUCGUUGAUUACUGAUGUGGGAAGGCCCAGUCUACUGGUUUUGGGUGGUAUAUAAAUGCAACCUGAGUAAGCCAUGAGCCGUGAGGAGGAGGCCAGGAAGCAAUAUUCCUUUAUGGUCUGUGCUUCAUUUCCUGUCUCCAGGUUAUUGCCCUGGUUUCCUCUUAUUAUGGACUAUAACCUGU